AUCCACUUAAAGAACCCGCAGUGGUUCAGUAUCUACUUCAUCGUCGUCUCUUUGCAAAUUCUAAGCUCCCGCUUCUUCCUCAUCAUCAUCAUCACCAUCACCAUGUCUGGCUGUGGAAACUCCGCAUGCUGCUGCGGCAGCGACUGCCAGUGCAGUCCCGGCAACUGCAGGUGCAGGACCAUGGAUGCGCCGAACUUCGGUGAUCUCCGCAAUCUAAAUCUUGAGGAUUGGCAGCUACAACGCGGCGUACAACUGGACUAUCAACAGCAAGAAUUUUUACUAGUGCCACAAGUGAAUUCUGUUCAGAGUCUUAUUUUCCUCACAGAAGAGAUGUGAAGAUGAAUAUUCUUGAUUUUCACUCUUUGGGGCAGAUAACGUGGUUUUCAGUUGUAUUUGAUGUGUGUGCAUCAUCUCUGGCUUAAGCAGAAGAUGUCUUCAAUAAGACGUGAAUUUGUGUGAUUUUAAAAAUAAACUUGUUGAUCUCUGCCGGAAUCUUUUGUGUU